UACCUGGUUGAUCCUGCCAGUAGUCAUAUGCUUGUCUCAAAGAUUAAGCCAUGCAUGUCUAAGUACAUACUGUUUAUAAAGUGAAACCGCGAAUGGCUCAUUAAAUCAGUUACGGUUCCUCGGAUAUUCUUUUUUACAUGGAUAACUGUGGUAAUUCUAGAGCUAAUACAUGAACAAGUGUUCCAACCUCAGCUUGCUGACGGAAGGAUCGCAUUUAUUAGUACAAGACCAAUGAUUCUUAUUCACCUAGAACCCUGUUCAGUGAUUUCGGUCGCUGUCUAAGGACUAGCAGUGGGGAUCUUAGCAACUUCGGUUGCAUUUCUUGUGAUGACUCUGAAUAACUGAGCAAAUCGUAUGGCCUCUGAGCCGACGAUGUAUCCCUCAAGCAACUGCCUUAUCAACUGUCGAUGGUAGGUUAUGCGCCUACCAUGGUUGUAACGGGUAACGGGGAAUUAGGGUUCGAUUCCGAUUUCAAAAUUAUUUUAUUUUGUAAAUUCUAAGGAAGGCAGCAGGCGCGCAAAUUACACAAUCCCAGUACGGGGAUGUAGUGACGAAAAAUAACAAUACGGGACUCUAUUGAGGCCCCGUAAUUGGAAUGAGUACAAUUUAAAUCCUUUAACGAGGAUCUAUUGGAGGGCAAGUCUGGUGCCAGCAGCCGCGGUAAUUCCAGCUCCAAUAGCGUAUAUUAAAGUUGCUGCGGUUAAAAAGCUCGUAGUUGGAUUUCAGUCGAACCUAUGGGGUCCACUGAUUAAAGGGUUAGAUGGUGAUGUUAGGUUUCUUGCUUGUGUCUACGGAUGCUAGCUUGAACCUUCAUUCCUCUUUCCUGGUGGUUACAUUCAUAGUGUUUAGACAGAAAAUUGCUCGAUAUUUGCUAUCAAUGCUCUUUACCGAGUGUUGAUUCAAGCGAUCGAGACUUUUACCUUGAAAAAAUCAGAGUGCUCAAAGCAGGCGUCCAAAACCUCGAAAGAGGUGCCUAAAAACGGUAUGGUCAACCAUCUAUAUGAUGCGUACCACUACCUUAACUUGAAUGAUCUGCAUGGAAUAAUGGAAUAGGACCUUGGUUCUAUUUUGUUGGUCUUAAGAAUCCAAGGUAAUGAUUAAGAGGGACAGACGGGGGCAUUUGUAUUGCGGCGCUAGAGGUGAAAUUCUUGGACCGUCGCAAGACAAACUACAGCGAAAGCAUUUGCCAAGAAUGUUUUCAUUAAUCAAGAACGAAAGUUAGAGGUUCGAAGGCGAUCAGAUACCGCCCUAGUUCUAACCAUAAACGAUGCCAACCAGCGAUCAUUCUGAGUAACUAAUUUCAUGACUCGAAUGGAAGCUUCCGGGAAACCAAAGUUUUUGGGUUCCGGGGGAAGUAUGGUGCAAAGCUGAAACUUAAAGGAAUUGACGGAAGGGCACCACCAGGAGUGGAGCUUGCGGCUUAAUUGACUCAACACGGGAAAACUCACCCGGCCCGGACACUGAGAGGAUUGACAGAUUGAGAGCUCUUUCUUGAUUCAGUGGGUGGUGGUGCAUGGCCGUUCUUAGUUGGUGGAGUGAUUUGUCUGGUUAAUUCCGAUAACGAACGAGACUCUAGCCUACUAAAUAGACUUGCAGUUUACACUGCAGUACUCCCCCUUAGUCAACCUGUGGGUGGUAGUAUCUCUUGAUGGUUUCGGCUGUUGAGGGCUCUGCUGCUAUUAGCCUACAGAAUUGGCUAGGGUAAGGAUGCUGUAGCACUGUAAGGACUUCUUAGAGGGACAAGCGGCGCUCGCAGCCGCACGAAACAGAGCAAUAACAGGUCUGUGAUGCCCUUAGAUGUCCGGGGCCGCACGCGUGCUACACUGAAGUGGUCAUCGUGCAUACUGUUCCUGCUCCGAAAGGAGUGGGUAACCGCUUGAACCCAUUUCGUGAUGGGGAUUGGGCAUUGUAAUUAUUGCCCAUGAACGAGGAAUUCCCAGUAAGCGUGAGUCAUUAGCUUGCGUUGAUUACGUCCCUGCCCUUUGUACACACCGCCCGUCGCUACUACCGAUUGAAUGAUUUAGUGAGGACUUCGGACUGGUCAAUCCAGACCAUUGGGAAACUAGUGGUCGGAUUGUGCUGGAAAGAUGUUCAAACUUGAUCAUUUAGAGGAAGUAAAAGUCGUAACAAGGUUUCCGUAGGUGAACCUGCGGAAGGAUCAUUA
rfam:Tetranychus urticae London genomic scaffold, scaffold_6